rnacentral:rRNA from 1 species
UACGAAGGGGGCUAGCGUUGCUCGGAAUCACUGGGCGUAAAGGGUGCGUAGGCGGGUCUUUAAGUCAGGGGUGAAAUCCUGGAGCUUAACUCCAGAACUGCCUUUGAUACUGAGGAUCUUGAGUUCGGGAGAGGUGAGUGGAACUGCGAGUGUAGAGGUGAAAUUCGUAGAUAUUCGCAAGAACACCAGUGGCGAAGGCGGCUCACUGGCCCGGUACUGACGCUGAGGCACGAAAGCGUGGGGAGCAAACAGG